UGCCAGCCGCCGCGGUAAUACGAAGGUCCCGAGCGUUAUUCGGAAUCACUGGGCGUAAAGGGAGCGUAGGCUGCGCGGUAAGUCAGAUGUGAAAUCUCAGAGCUCAACUCUGAAACUGCAUCCGAUACUGCCGCGCUAGAGUAAUGGAGGGGUAACUGGAAUUCUCGGUGUAGCAGUGAAAUGCGUAGAUAUCGAGAGGAAGACCAACGGCGAAGGCAGGUUACUGGACAUUUACUGACGCUGAGGCUCGAAGGCUAGGGUAGCGAAAGGGAUUAGAUA
rnacentral:rRNA from 1 species